GACGAACGCUGGCGGCGUGCUUAACACAUGCAAGUCGAACGGAAAGGCCCUGCUUGCAGGGUACUCGAGUGGCGAACGGGUGAGUAACACGUGGGUGAUCUGCCCUGCACUUCGGGAUAAGCCUGGUCAACUGGGUCUAAUACCGGAUAGGAGCCAUUUUUAGUGUGAUGGUUGGAAAGUUUUUUCGGUUUCGGAUGAGCUCGCGGCCUAUCAGCUUGUUGGUGGGUUAAUGGCCUACCAAGGCGGCGACGGGUAGCCGGCCUGAGAGGGUGGAAGGCCACAUUGGGACUGAGAUACGGCCCAGACUCCUACGGGAGGCAGAAGUGGGGAAUAUUGAACAAUGGGCGCAAGCCUGAUGCAGCGACGCCGCGUGGGGGAUGAAGGCCUUCGGGUUGUAAACUCCUUUCGCUAGGGACGAAGCUUUUGUGACGGUACCUAGAUAAGAAGCACCGGCUAACUACGUG
rnacentral:rRNA from 1 species